ACGCCCGGUUACAUUCCGAACCCGGAAGCUAAGCCUUUCCGCGCCGAUGGUACUGCAGGGGGGACCCUGUGGGAGAGUAGGACGCCGCCGAAC
rnacentral:rRNA from 1 species